UACGUAGGGGGCUAGCGUUGCUCGGAAUCACUGGGCGUAAAGGGUGCGUAGGCGGGUUUUUAAGUCAGGGGUGAAAUCCUGGAGCUCAACUCCAGAACUGCCUUUGAUACUGAAGAUCUUGAGUCCGGGAGAGGUGAGUGGAACUGCGAGUGUAGAGGUGAAAUUCGUAGAUAUUCGCAAGAACACCAGUGGCGAAGGCGGCUCACUGGCCCGGUACUGACGCUGAGACGCGAAAGCGUGGGGAGCAAACAGG
rnacentral:rRNA from 1 species